rnacentral:rRNA from 1 species
UACAGAGGUCCCAAGCGUUGUUCGGAUUCAUUGGGCGUAAAGGGUGCGUAGGUGGCGUCGUAAGUCAGGUGUGAAAUCUCGGAGCUUAACUCCGAAACUGCAUUUGAUACUGCGGUGCUUGAGGACUGGAGAGGAGACUGGAAUUUACGGUGUAGCAGUGAAAUGCGUAGAGAUCGUAAGGAAGACCAGUGGCGAAGGCGGGUCUCUGGACAGUUCCUGACACUGAGGCACGAAGGCCAGGGGAGCAAACGGG